rnacentral:rRNA from 1 species
GACGAACGCUGGCGGCGUGCCUAACACAUGCAAGUCGAGCGAUGAAGCUCCUUCGGGAGUGGAUUAGCGGCGGACGGGUGAGUAACACGUGGGUAACCUGCCUCAUAGAGAGGGAUAGCCUUCCGAAAGGAAGAUUAAUACCUCAUAAGAUUGUAGUUUCGCAUGAAACGGCAAUAAAAGGAGCAAUCCGCUAUGAGAUGGACCCGCGUCGCAUUAGCUAGUUGGUAAGGUAAUGGCUUACCAAGGCGACGAUGCGUAGCCGACCUGAGAGGGUGAUCGGCCACAUUGGGACUGAGACACGGCCCAGACUCCUACGGGAGGCAGCAGUGGGGAAUAUUGCACAAUGGGGGAAACCCUGAUGCAGCAACGCCGCGUGAGUGAUGAAGGCCCUCGGGUUGUAAAGCUCUGUCUUUGGGGACGAUAAUGACGGUACCCAAGGAGGAAGCCACGGCUAACUACGUGCCAGCCGCCGCUGUAAUAC